GCCAGCGGCGAUAUGUUGAAUGCACCGGUUCCCAAUGGAUCAUUGAAGUUGAGCAACGUUGGGCGUCUUUGGUAUCCGGAUGGGUUACCUUUUGGGCAAUAGUGAGUUGCUGAAU
rnacentral:rRNA from 1 species